GACGAACGCUGGCGGCGUGCUUAACACAUGCAAGUCGAACGGUGAACCUCUUCGGAGGGGAUCAGUGGCGAACGGGUGAGUAACACGUGGGCAACCUGCCCCCGGCUCUGGGAUAACUCCAAGAAAUUGGGGCUAAUACCGGAUGUUCACCGCUUCCCGCAUGGGUGGUGGUGGAAAGGGUUUCCGGCUGGGGAUGGGCCCGCGGCCUAUCAGCUUGUUGGUGGGGUAGUGGCCUACCAAGGCGACGACGGGUAGCCGGCCUGAGAGGGUGACCGGCCACACUGGGACUGAGACACGGCCCAGACUCCUACGGGUGGCAGCAGUGGGGAAUAUUGCGCAAUGGGCGGAAGCCUGACGCAGCGACGCCGCGUGGGGGAUGACGGCCUUCGGGUUGUAAACCUCUUUCAGCAGGGACGAAGCGCAAGUGACGGUACCUGCAGAAGAAGCACCGGCCAACUACGUG
rnacentral:rRNA from 1 species